UACGUAGGUGGCAAGCGUUGUCCGGAUUUAUUGGGUUUAAAGGGUGCGUAGGCGGUCAUGUAAGUCAGUGCUGAAAUAUCCCGGCUUAACCGGGAGGGUGGCAUUGAUACUGUAUGACUUGAGUAAAGUUGAGGUUGGCGGAAUUGACGGUGUAGCGGUGAAAUGCUUAGAUAUCGUCAAGAACACCUAUUGCGAAGGCAGCUAACUAAGCUUUAACUGACGCUGAGGCACGAAAGUGUGGGGAUCAAACAGG
rnacentral:rRNA from 1 species